GACGAACGCUGGCGGCGUGCCUAAUACAUGCAAGUCGAACGCAGUGGGGACGGGUGAGUAACACGUGGGUAACCUCCCAUCAGAGGGGAUAACACUUGGAAACAGGUGCUAAACCGAUACUGAUGGAUGGACCCGGGGUGAAUUAGCUAGUUGGUGAGGUAACGGCUCACCAAGGCCACGAUGCAUAGACGACCUGAGAGGGGGAUCGGCAACACUGGAACUGAGACACGGCCCAGACGCCUACGGGAGGCAGCAGUAGGGAAUCGGCGGCAAUGGACGAAAGUCUGACCGAGCAACGCCGCGUGAGUGAAGAAGGUUUUCGGAUCGUAAAGCUCUGUGGUUAGAGAGGCGGUAUCUAACCAGAAAGCCACGGCUAACUACGUGCCAGCAGCCGCGGUAAUAC
rnacentral:rRNA from 1 species